rnacentral:lncRNA from 1 species
ACAAACAUACCAUCCAAACCAACAAAAUCGCUACCACCCCAAACCGCUUCUACUUCACGCUGGUGGCAUGCUUUGCUUGUGAAGAGUCGUCGGAGUGGGUAGUCUUCUUCGCGGUGUAGGUUCAGCAUUUGCUUGUUUGAUGUGUUUUGCUUCGCGCUCGAUGGAUCUGCUUCUUUGAACUCACAAUAAUCCACCAUCCAAACCCCCAAAAUCGCACUGGUGGUCUGCUUCGCGCUUGGUUGAACUGCUUCGCCAUGUCAAAGCCGUCGCCACUGUGAGUUUGGCAAUGGAUUGUUGCCGUGGGCGGUGGUCCACCAUCCAAAACCACAAAAGCGUGCUAGCGUUCUGCUUUGCGCCCAGUGGAACUGCUUCAUCGUGUCAAUACCGCCGUCGUUGUGAGUUUGACGGUGGAUUGUUGACGUGGGUGAUGGUCUCCGACAAUGGGCAGCGGCGCGGAGUUGUCGGUUGAGUGGAGAGAGUGAAGAGGGAAGAUGAAGUGAUGUGAAUUU